rnacentral:rRNA from 1 species
UUUAUGGAGAGUUUGAUCCUGGCUCAGGAUGAACGCUGGCGGCGUGCCUAAUACAUGCAAGUCGAGCGAACAGACGAGGAGCUUGCUCCUUUGACGUUAGCGGCGGACGGGUGAGUAACACGUAGGUAACCUACCUAUAAGACUGGGAUAACUUCGGGAAACCGGAGCUAAUACCGGAUAAUAUUUCGAACCGCAUGGUUCGAUAGUGAAAGAUGGCUUUGCUAUCACUUAUAGAUGGACCUGCGCCGUAUUAGCUAGUUGGUAAGGUAACGGCUUACCAAGGCAACGAUACGUAGCCGACCUGAGAGGGUGAUCGGCCACACUGGAACUGAGACACGGUCCAGACUCCUACGGGAGGCAGCAGUAGGGAAUCUUCCGCAAUGGGCGAAAGCCUGACGGAGCAACGCCGCGUGAGUGAUGAAGGU